rnacentral:rRNA from 1 species
AUUGAACGCUGGCGGCAUGCUUUACACAUGCAAGUCGAACGGCAGUGCGGGGGCGACCCUGGCGGCGAGUGGCGAACGGGUGAGUAAAACAUCGGAACGUGCCCAGUCGAGGGGGAUAACGUAGCGAAAGUUACGCUAAUACCGCAUACGAUCUAAGGAUGAAAGCGGGGGACUUUAUAGAAAUAUAGAGCCUCGUGCGAUUGGAGCGGCCGAUGACAGAUUAGGUAGUUGGUAGGGUAAAAGCCUACCACGCCUGCGAUCUGUAGCUGGUCUGAGAGGACGACCAGCCACACUGGGACUGAGACACGGCCCAGACUCCUACGGGAGGCAGCAGUGGGGAAUUUUGGACAAUGGGCGCAAGCCUGAUCCAGCCAUGCCGCGUGCGGGAUGAAGGCCUUCGGGUUGUAAACCGCUUUUGUUAGGGAAGAAAUCUUUUGAGCUAAUACCUCGGAAGGAUGACGGUACCUAAAGAAUAAGCACCGGCUAACUACGUGCCAGCAGCCGCAGUAA